rnacentral:sRNA from 1 species
GUGGUUCUUGCCAGGGAAGUUCUUAACACCAUACCAAAAGAAUAUCAUACCGGGCUUAAAUGAAUAUGGAAAAAAGUUUGACGCCUAAAUAAGUCCAUACAAAAGAGAAAAAGGGGAUAAUGACCAAAAAACACACACGUUUACUCACGAAACGAAUGGACAGGUUAUCUACACGGCACCGGAUUAUACGUGGCUUGGCGGCUGACAUUCCAAGCGUCUAGCCCUCCCACAGAAACCACGAUCGGGCUUCACCAUGAUACCUACUUCAUGCGCUAGGCAUCUCAACAUCGAGACACCGCAACCGGCCUGCGUUAAUGUCAAUAACCCAAUUACGACUUCUACCUAUGCUACCUAGCUUGAGCUCAACCUAUGUCGCCUUGGGCACCCUUUCUAUGUUACGCUGAAAGACCACUGAAAUCAAAAAGGAAGUCUAUCGGUCGUUCGUCUGUCCAAGGUUGUGUGUAAAUUAUCUGUCCGCAUAGGGUAUUUUUAUAUGGGCGGUCGGUGUGAUCAUACCGGUUUUCUGCGCCUCCCCCAAUGACUAGAGCGGUGAUGGUGACUGGACGUGCUGGAUAACGUGCUGGAUCGCGUGCUUCGGUUUUUUAAUUUUGUUUAUAUUUUGUAAGACUUUAGUUCCUGUAAAACUUUAGUUGCUUAUUUUUUUUCUUUCCUUUUAAAUAUUGGGUUGCCCAAAAAGUAUUUGCGGAUGUUUUAAA